rnacentral:rRNA from 1 species
AGCUACUGCUAUCGGGAUUCGAUUAAGCCAUGCGAGUCGAGGGAAUUAGAUUCCCGGCUGGCGGCUCAGUAACACGUGGAUAAUUUGCCCUCAGGUGGGGGAUAAUCUCGGGAAACUGAGGAUAAUACCCCAUAGGCAUCCUUCGCUGGAAUGCUUGGAUGCUCAAAGCCCAAAGCGCCUGAGGAUAAGUCUGCGGCCUAUCAGGUAGUAGUGGGUGUAAUGGACCCACUAGCCUACGACGGGUACGGGCCUUGAAAGAGGUAGCCCGGAGAUGGACUCUGAGACACGAGUCCAGGCCCUACGGGGCGCAGCAGGCGCGAGAACUUCGCAGUGCGGGAAACCGUGACGAGGGAAUCCCGAGUGCUCAUGCAAUGCAUGGGCUUUUAUGAUGUGUAAAAAGCAUUAGGAAUAAGGGCUGGGUAAGACCGGUGCCAGCCGCCGCGGUAAUACCGGCAGCUCAAGUGGUAGCCACUAUUAUUGGGCCUAAAGCGUCCGUAGCCGGUCAGGUAAAUCCUUGGGUAAAUCGUACAGCUUAACUGUACGGCUUCCGAGGAGACUGCUUGACUUGGGACCGGGAGAGGUUGGAGGUACUCCUGGGGUAGGGGUGAAAUCCUGUAAUCCUAGGUGGACCACCGGUGGCGAAGGCGUCCAACCAGAACGGCUCCGACGGUGAGGGACGAAGGCUAGGGGCGCAAACCGGAUUAGAUACCCGGGUAGUCCUAGCUGUAAACGCUGCAGACUUGGUGUUGGAGAUCCUACGAGGGUGUUCAGUGCCGGAGAGAAGUUGGUAAGUUUGCCGCCUGGGAAGUAUGGCCGCAAAGCUGAAACUUAAAGGAAUUGGCGGGG